AGGACGAACGCUGGCGGCGUGCCUAACACAUGCAAGUGGAGCGACGAACCAGGCUUCGGCCUGGGGCAGAGCCGCGAACGGGUGAGUAACACGUGGGUAACCUGCCCUGAUGAUUGGGACAACCCGAGGAAACUCGGGCUAAUACCGAAUGUGCCCUCCGGCCUCAAGGCCGCUGGGGAAAGGAAGCUUCGGCCUCCGCAUCGGGAUGGGCCCGCGGCCCAUUAGCUUGUUGGUGAGGUAACGGCUCACCAAGGCGACGAUGGGUAGCUGGUCUGAGAGGACGAUCAGCCACACUGGGACUGAGACACGGCCCAGACUCCUACGGGAGGCAGCAGUGGGGAAUCUUGCGCAAUGCGCGAAAGCGUGACGCAGCAACGCCGCGUGGGGGAAGACGGCCUUCGGGUUGUAACCCCUUUCAGUUGGGACGAAGCUCGCCGGUGAAUAGCCGGCUGGAGUGACGGUACCUUCAGAAGAAGCCCGGCUAACUACGUGCCAGCAGCCGCGGUAAUCUA
rnacentral:rRNA from 1 species